GACGAACGCUGGCGGCGUGCUUAACACAUGCAAGUCGAGCGAGGCCCCUCCUUCGGGAGGGUGUCCUAGCGGCGAACGGGUGAGUAACACGUGGGCAACCUGCCCUCAGCUCUGGGAUAACUCCGGGAAACCGGGGCUCAUACCGGAUACGACCUCCACGGGCAUCUGCGGAGGUGGAAAGUUUUUCGGCUGAGGAUGGGCCCGCGGCCUAUCAGCUAGUUGGUGGGGUAGUGGCCCACCAAGGCGACGACGGGUAGCCGGCCUGAGAGGGCGACCGGCCACACUGGGACUGAGACACGGCCCAGACUCCUACGGGAGGCAGCAGUGGGGAAUAUUGCGCAAUGGGCGAAAGCCUGACGCAGCGACGCCGCGUGAGGGACGAAGGCCUUCGGGUUGUAAACCUCUUUCAGCAGGGACGAAGCGAAAGUGACGGUACCUGCAGAAGAAGCACCGGCCAACUACGUG
rnacentral:rRNA from 1 species